rnacentral:lncRNA from 1 species
GAGCAUUUGCAGAGGCUUGGGAGGGAGUGGACGUGUCCCUGAUGCUAAGGGCAGAGGAGGAGCGGGGCCCUCGGGCAGCUGGAAGGGCAUCCUGAAAAGACGCCUGCCUGCCGCCGUUCUCCUGGCAGCAGGGCGCGCUGGGAAGCACCAGGCAGGAAGUGAAGAAUUUCCGGUUGUCAGCGGAGGGAUGGGGCGUCACCAAGUCUGUGGCAAGCACACCAAGAACCAGCUAAGUCCAAGGCUCACCUGCAUGGCAAAUGGUGAAGAGCCCAGCUCCCACUGAAGGCAUAUGACCCAGAUCCUGAGAACCAGAUGCACCGGCCUGAGCUUUCGUCAGAAGCAAGGACACACAGAACCUUUCUUAGAGGCAUCAUUAGAGGACCGGACAUGGUGGCCAGAGGCUGCAGGGACAGAAGUCCCAGGGCCAUGUCCAGGAACUGGGCUCAGGGGACCUCCUGGUGCCACCUGCAUAUCUGAGCCCAUGGAGUUCCUCUGGUCUAUUCAGUUCUCUCAUUUUAACUUAAUUUUGUUUUUGUAGGCUUUCUUAAAAAAUUGCCCAGUUCAUUUACCUGAUCACGUUUAUUGUUCAGAGUUGAGUGUGGUUCUCUCGUAAUUAUUUAGUCUCCACUGGGUCUGUGAUUAUAUUUCCUUUCUUAUUGCUAAUGCUGUUUGUGUUUGAUUUUCUUCUUUUUUUUCUUGGCCUGACUUAAAGAGGUUUGUCUGUUUUAUCUUUAUUUUAAAAAUAACCAACUGUUUAUUUUUACUUCUCCACUGUGAUUUCCCCCUUUAUUUCUUUAAUGUUUGAGUUUAUAUUUUUUCCUAUUUAUUUUGGCUUAAAUUUUAUUAUCAUUUUGCUAUAUCCUUGUGUCAAGCGCUUAAUUCAAUUAUUUUGUUAUUUUGACUUCUAAAAAAUCAGUUAAUUCUAUAAGUUUUCCUCUAUGUACUACAUUGAGCAAACUCCACAGAUUUCUGUAGGGGGCAUACUAAUUGUAAUUCAAUUUCGUUUUCCAUGUGUAGGUCCAGAUUUAUUUGAAUGUCCAAAUACUUAGAAUUGUAGGCUCUUGUUUUGUUAUUAAAGUCUGGUUUUAUUACAUUGUGUUUAGAGAAAAUAAUAUGGAGGAUUUUAAUUUUAGAUAAAGCAUUAAUAUCUUUUUUAUCCUCAAACAUGAUCAAUUUUUGACAGUGUUCCAAAAAUAUACUAUGAAAUAUAUAUUAUCUGUUGGAAUAGAGUAAUAUAUGUACACACUCUGCCAUGUGCAUAUGUUUAUAUAUCAUAUUUAGUCAAUGGUAGUUGUGUUAGCCAAGUCCUGGAGUCAUCUCGAUUCAAGUUUGUUGAGGCAGAAUUGUCAAUUUCGUCCUCAGCUCAGCUUCAACUACUUAACAGAACCUGAUUCAUAUAGGAAUUAAGUAAAUGUUUGUUGAAUGAAAUUCAGUGUCCCCAACCUUUUUGGCACCAGGGACUGGUUUUGUUGAAGACAGUUUUUCCAUGGAUGAUGGUAGGGGAUGGUUUCAGGAUGAUUCAAGUGCAUUACCUUUAUUGUGCACUCUAUUUCUAUUAUUAUUACACUGUAAUUAAUGAAAUGAUGGUAAAACUCACAAUAAUGUAGAAAUCAGUGGGAGCUCUGAGCUUGUUUUCCUACAACUAGAUGGUCCUCUCUGGGGGUGAUGGGAGACAGUGACAGAUCACCAGGCAUUACAUUCUCAUAAGGAGUGUGCAACCUAAUAUAGAUUCCUCGCAUGCACAGACCACAAUAGGGUUCGUGCUUCUAGGAG